GCGUGCUUAACACAUGCAAGUCGAACGGUAAGGCCCCUUCGGGGGUACACGAGUGGCGAACGGGUGAGUAACACGUGAGCAACCUGCCCUUGACUUCGGAAUACCAGCUGGAAACAGCUGCUAAUACCGGAUACGACCUCCCGCGUCAUCGUGGGUGGUGGAAAGCUCCGGCGGUCAGGGAUGGGCUCGCGGCCUAUCAGCUUGUUGGUGAGGUAAUGGCUCACCAAGGCUUCGACGGGUAGCCGGCCUGAGAGGGCGACCGGCCACACUGGGACUGAGAUACGGCCCAGACUCCUACGGGAGGCAGCAGUGGGGAAUAUUGCACAAUGGGCGCAAGCCUGAUGCAGCAACGCCGCGUGCGGGAUGACGGCCUUCGGGUUGUAAACCGCUUUCAGUGGGGACGAAGCUAACGUGACGGUACCCACAGAAGAAGGACCGGCUAACUACGUGCCAGCAGCCGCGGUGAUACGUAGGGUCCGAGCGUUGUCCGGAAUUAUUGGGCGUAAAGGGCUUGUAGGCGGUCCGUCGCGUCAGGAGUGAAAACUCGGGGCUUAACCCCGAGCCUGCUUUUGAUACGGGCGG
rnacentral:rRNA from 1 species